rnacentral:rRNA from 1 species
AAAGGAAUUGACGGGGGCCCGCACAAGCGGAGGAACAUGUGGUUUAAUUCGAUGAUACGCGAGGAACCUUACCCGGGAUUAAAUGUUGGGUGCAUGGUGGAGAAAUCCAUCUUUCCUUCGGGACUUCCAACAAGGUGCUGCAUGGUUGUCGUCAGCUCGUGCCGUGAGGUGUCGGGUUAAGUCCCAUAACGAGCGCAACCCUUUCCGUCAGUUGCCAUCGGUUCAUGCCGGGCACUCUGUCGGGACUGCCGCCGUAAGGUGCGAGGAAGGAGGGGAUGACGUCAAAUCAGCACGGCCCUUAUAUCCGGGGCGACACACGUGUUACAAUGGCCGGUACAGGGGGCAGCUACCAGGUGACUGGAUGCGAAUCUCCAAAGCCGGUCUCAGUUCGGAUCGGAGUCUGCAACCCGACUCCGUGAAGUUGGAUUCGCUAGUAAUCGCGCAUCAGCCAUGGCGCGGUGAAUACGUUCCCGGGCCUUGUACACACCGCCCGU